UACGUAGGGUGCAAGCGUUAAUCGGAAUUACUGGGCGUAAAGCGUGCGCAGGCGGUUUUGUAAGUCUGACGUGAAAUCCCCGGGCUCAACCUGGGAAUUGCGUUGGAGACUGCAAGGCUAGAAUCUGGCAGAGGGCGGUAGAAUUCCACGUGUAGCAGUGAAAUGCGUAGAGAUGUGGAGGAACACCGAUGGCGAAGGCAGCCCCCUGGGUCAAGAUUGACGCUCAUGCACGAAAGCGUGGGGAGCAAACAGG
rnacentral:rRNA from 1 species